GAACGUCGGUUGUUUGGACCUA
rnacentral:siRNA from 1 species